AAUUUGUUUUUUAAUUGAAAAAUAGUAUGAAUGGUUUUAUAAAAUAAAAGCUAUAAAAAAUUAAUAUUAAAAUUUUUAUUUUUAGUGAAAAUACUAAAAAACUAUUAUUAGACAAAAAGACCCUAUGAAACUGUAAAUAAAAAAUUAUAUUAUAUUUAAUAAAAUAAAUUUAUUUUUUGGGGUAAAAAAUAAUUAUUUUAUUUUAUUUUUAUUAAUAUUAUCCUUUUUGAAUUAAAAUAAAGUUCCUCUAGGGAUAACAGCAUAAUAAUUAUAAAAGUUCGUAUUAAAAUAAUUGU
rnacentral:rRNA from 1 species